rnacentral:lncRNA from 1 species
AGAGGCAUGUGGGUAUCAGCAACUGCUUAGAGAAGCUGGCCAAGGCCAGCCGAUGAGGGAGGGACCAGAUUCCCUGCAAGAUGAGAUGCAUUUGAAACAACUGACAAGAAACGGUAUGAGCAAUGGAAACACUGCUACCUGUUUCCAACUCAGCUGAAGUGAAUCAACUCAAAAUGCAGGAGACAGAAAAAGGAUUUUCCUGGGAUAGAUCUUUCUUUUAAGCUUCAGCUGGACCACUUACACAUCUGUUUCCAGCCCUUGGAUCUUCUGUGAGGCAGAGAUGGCUUCCAAGUCAUGGAGAAUAACUGUUACCCCCCAUCCAACUUUCUGGAGCCUUUUGAUUGAUGCCUGGCUGAUGGACUCAAUCGCCUGCAAGUUUCCCAUAUGCUUCAUCUGAAUCCAAAAACAAGUUGAAGAAAAUAUGCAACAUUGGGAGAUUUUAACAGAAAAAUGGUAAGCCACUACUCCUUGUGGAACUAUGGUCUGUGAAGCUGCAAUUGGUGAGGAGGGGAAAGCCAGCUUUUCCUUAAUUUCCCUACAAGUUCGAAAAGCAAGUCAAGAAAAGGAAACCACCUGCAGUCAAAAGAUGAUGAAACCCCACGAGGUGGAAGAACUUAACUACUUGCCAACCACAUACAUAGACCCUCCCCCCCAAGCUGGUUGGAACCAGGUUGAUGAUAUUGACUCCUGAUUACCUCACCACCAACCAAUCAGAAGAAUGUCCACGUGCUGAUCAUAUACCACAACCCUCUGCCUCAACCGGUCUUUAAAAACCUUUCCCUGAAAGCUAUUAGGGAGUUCAGGCCUUUUUGAGCAUUAGGCCUUUCACCAAACUUGUAGUUUGCUUCACCACAACCUGUUGUCAGCAGAUUGGCUUUAUUUGCCUUGAGUUUGGUAAUAGUGGUUUCGGGGAAUAUGUAUCUAUACAGAAUUUUUUUUUUUUUUGAAAGUGUUGCAAAUACAUUCUCCCUAUGUAUGACUUGAUUUUGUUACUUUGUGGUAUUUCUUGAUAUGCAGAAGUUUUAAGUUUUUAUAAAGUCAAGUUUAUAUUUUCCUUUAGGUUUUAUGCUUUUUUUUUCAGGGGGGUACAAUUAUUAUGAAAUCCUUCUCUGGCUUGGAGAUAUAAAGACAUUCUAUUAUAUUUUCUUGUAAACAACUUAAAUUUUUAUUUUUCACACUUUGAUCAUUACUCAUCCAUGAAUUUUUUUUUAGGAUAUAGAUUGGGAAUAUAGUUUUAUUUUCUACCUAAAUAGCCAAUUAUUCUACCACCAUUUAUUGGAUAAUCUAUCUUCAUCUUAUCCCCACUAAUUUGCAGUGUGUCCAUUUUCCUAUAAACACAGGUCUGGUUUUAGGUCUUGCUAUCCUAUUCCAUUGACCUAUUUGUCUAUUCACCUGCAUGAAGAUCAUCUCUUACUUGCCAUAGCUUUAAAUAAAUUUUGAUAUUUGAUAGGGUCAAACUACCAUUUUGUUUUUCAAAAUUUCUUAAGUAUCUUGUCCUUUUUCUUCCAUAUAAAUUUUGAGAUGAAUUUUUUAAGUUUCAUGUAAAUUUCUGUUAGAUUGUGUUUGAAAUUGGGUUGGUAUAUUAGGGAAGACAAUAUCUGUUAUUGAACGCUUUCAUCAAUAAACUUGGUAUAUCACUACA